CACGUAGGGCGCAAGCGUUGUCCGGAAUUAUUGGGCGUAAAGAGCUCGUAGGCGGUCUGUUGCGUCCGCUGUGAAAACUCGGGGCUUAACCCCGAGCCUGCAGUGGAUACGGGCAGACUAGAGGUAGGUAGGGGAGAAUGGAAUUCCCGGUGUAGCGGUGAAAUGCGCAGAUAUCGGGAGGAACACCAGUGGCGAAGGCGGCUCACUGGCCCGAUACUGACGCUGAGGCACGAAAGCGUGGGGAGCAAACAGG
rnacentral:rRNA from 1 species